AGAUGAUGCCACAUCUGGUCCAGCUGAUGGAAGGUCUUGAAGUUCUCUGACUGGCCUCGACUGAAGAUGGUCGUCUCACUGGAUUUAAGAUGCACAAUGAGGGACGUCUGCAGAGACUGAGAAAGAGUCUCACCACAUCCUGACAUGAGGAAAAAGACUUUAUUGAAGACUACAAUGAGAAAAACUAUCAGACAGCAGACGGCUGCAUUCAAGAGAGGAAGACCAUCAAACAUCCACGUCAGCUGAUGGAGGUCCAAGAGUCUCACCAAACAAACAACCUACAGAGUGAAGACCUCAAAUCUGAUUGGACGGCCUCCUGUUCAGCCAC
ensembl:lncRNA